CUCCAAAGUGGUUAAUGUUCGAAAAUCUGAAGUUACGGUUAAAAAACUGAAAAUUUUAUUGUGAAAUUGACAAAAUGAGAUUAGGGGGGUAGGGCACUAAAAGAAAAAUUUGGACCAUUUUAAAGAGAUGUUGACGGGCAACGACUAUAAAGGUGUUGUAGAAGAGACAUUGGCGCAUCGUUUAAGAAAAUCUCCAGAGUUGUUUAUGUUCGAAAAUCUGAAGUUACGGUUAAAAAACUGAAAUUGUGAAAUUGACAAAAUGAGAUAAGGGGGUAGGCCAAUUUAAGUAAAUUUUGUACCAAUUUCAAGAGAUUGUGACGGGCAACGACUAUAUAGGUGUUGUAGAGGAGACAUUGGCGCAUCGUUUAGGAAAAUGUCCAGAGUGGUUUAUGUUCGAAAAUCUGAAGUUACGGUUAAAAAACUGAAAAUUUUAUUGUGAAAUUGACAAAAUGAGAUUAGGGGGGUAGGGCACUAAAAGAAAAAUUUGGACCAUUUUAAAGAGAUUGUGACGGGCAACGACUAUAUAGGUGUUGUAGAGGAGAUAUUGGCGCAUCGUUUAAGAAAAUCUCCAGAGUGGUUUAUGUUCGAAAAUCUGAAGUUACGGUUAAAAACUGAAAAUUUUAUUGUGAAAUUGACAAAAUGAGAUUAGGGGGGUAGGGCACUAAAAGAAAAAAUUGGACCAUUUUAAAGAGAUUGUGACGGGCAACGACUAUAUAGGUGUUGUAGAGGAGACAUUGGCGCAUCGUUUAAGAAAAUCUCUAGAGUGGUUUAUGUUCGAAAAUCUGAAGUAACGGUUGAAAAACUGAAAAUGUUUUUGUGAAAUUGACAAAAUGAGAUUAGGGGGUAGGGCACUAAAAGAAAAAUUUGGACCAUUUUAAAGAGAUUGUGACGGGCAACGACUAUAUAGGUGUUGUAGAGGAGACAUUGGCGCAUAGUUUAAGAAA